UGGAGUCAAUCAAGUCUCAAAUCAUGGGUCCUCGACCCUGCAGCAGUGUUAUCCUCAUCAGGAGCUUCUCUUUGCUCUGGUUCAGCUGUUCUACUAGAUGAGGCUCCUAUAGCUCUCGCUCGCAGUGCUUCUUCCCAUUUCUAUUUGUCCUCUUGGGAUGCUUUCAUUGCCCUUUUUAGAUCCACCUUCUCCUGUUCUGUCAAGUCAUUAUCUGCCUGCAGUGUCUUCUCUUCCUUCUUCUUCUUAUUUACCCUUUUCUUGGCCUUGCUCUCAUUCUCAUCAUCUUCUUGUCUCUUUCUCUUACCUUUUUCUGCUUCUUUGUUUUUAUUCAUUUUUUUCAC
rnacentral:lncRNA from 1 species